GUUGUAGAAGCUAACCCUGCUUAUGAAACGCCAGAUAGCCAGAGUGUCGUUGUAGAAGUUAACCCUGCUUAUGAAACGCCAUAUAACCAGAGUGUUGUUGUAGAAGGUAACCCUGCUUAUGAAACGCCAGAUAGCCAGAGUGUGGUUGUAGAAGCUAACCCUGCUUAUACAACGCCAGAUCAUAAAAGUGAAGAAGCCAAUAUCGCCAGUUGUAAUCCAGAACCUGGAUAUGAAUCCGUCGAUAUGAAAAAGAGAGUGUCCAACGAUUCCCAAGCAGAUCCUGGAUAUGCGACGCCAGAUGUCAAAGAAAGAGAAGUCGAUCGCGUUAAUUCUUAUCCAGAACCUGGGUAUGAAACUCCUGACAUCAACAGGAAAGACAUCGAUCGCGUUAAUUCUUAUCCGGAGCCUGGGUAUGAAACUCCUGAUGUCAACAGGAAAAAAAUCAAUGCAGCUACUGCAGAUUAGUGAGAAUAUAAGGCAAUUUUUAAUAUCAGUAUUUUCAAUAAACAGUAAAAAUUUAUGUUUUAUAUCAUGUAUUAAGGACACAAACAGAUUUCGUUCCACAACGAAUACAAAUAAUAUUAAUGUUUUAUGCUUUAAUGAAUCAUUGAAUCACACCGAAAAUAAUAAAACAACAGCAAUGAGGCCCCCCUAUACUUUUUGCGUGAAGCGUGAAGGGCUUAUUUUACUUAGCCGUGAAACGUGAUCGGGCCCCCUAUAUGUUUUGCGUGAAGCGUGAAGGGCUUAUUUUACUUAGCCGUGAAACGUGAUCGAUGAUUUUUUUAAUCCGUGACUCGUGAAAAGGCAAAAUAUUUUUACGUGAAAGCAUAUUGUGAAGAGGUAUAGGGGGCCCUCAGCAAUAACAUGAAUAUUAAUAUUAAUAAUAAUUAAUGAUAACAUAAGCCUGUGAAAUAAAUAUAUAUUUUAAACCAAAUCAAAGAGG